rnacentral:rRNA from 1 species
GCUACGGGGGACUGCAGUGAGGAAUAUUGGUCAAUGGGCUUACGCCUGAACCAGCCAAGUCGCGUGAGGGAAGACUGCCCUAUGGGUUGUAAACCUCUUUUGUCAGGGAGCAACGCCGGCUACGUGUAGCCGGACUGAGAGUACCUGAAGAAAAAGCAUCGGCUAACUCCGUGCCAGCAGCCGCGGUAAUACGGCGGAUGCAAGCGUUAUACGGUUUUAUUGGGUUUAAAGGGAUCUUAGUCGGAAUGCCGAGUCAGCGUUAAAAUCGCGGGGCUCAACCUCGCCCCGCCGUUGAAAAUGGCGUUGUUGAGUGGGCGAGAAGUAUGCGGAAUGCGUGGUGUAGCGGGGAAAUGCAUAGAU